GGGAUUCCAGGCGGGCACCAGUGGGGAGUGUGUCGACGUGGACGAGUGCCAGGAGUACGGGGGCACCGGGCUGUGCGGGGCCCAGCGGUGCCACAACAUCCCCGGCUCCUACCGCUGCCAACCCCAGUGCCAGGCGGGAUUCCGGCCCGGCACCGACGGGGAGUGUGUCGGUGAGGGGGAGUGCCAGG